UACGUAGGGUGCAAGCGUUGUCCGGAAUUAUUGGGCGUAAAGAGCUCGUAGGCGGUGUGUCGCGUCUGCUGUGAAAACUCAGGGCUCAACUCUGAGCUUGCAGUGGGUACGGGCACACUAGAGUGCUGUAGGGGGAGACUGGAAUUCCUGGUGUAGCGGUGAAAUGCGCAGAUAUCAGGAGGAACACCGGUGGCGAAGGCGGGUCUCUGGGCAGUUACUGACGCUGGAGGAGCGAAAGCAUGGGGGAGCGAACAGG
rnacentral:rRNA from 1 species